rnacentral:rRNA from 1 species
UGGGGAAUAUUGGACAAUGGGCGAAAGCCUGAUCCAGCCAUGCCGCGUGUGUGAAGAAGGUCUUCGGAUUGUAAAGCACUUUAAGCGAGGAGGAGGGUACUGGUAUUAAUACUACCAGCUACUGGACGUUACUCGCAGAAUAAGCACCGGCUAACUCUGUGCCAGCAGCCGCGGUAAUACAGAGGGUGCGAGCGUUAAUCGGAUUUACUGGGCGUAAAGCGUGCGUAGGCGGCUAAUUGAGUCGGAUGUGAAAUCCCCGAGCUUAACUUGGGAAUUGCAUUCGAUACUGGUUAGCUAGAGUGUGGGAGAGGAUGGUAGAAUUCCAGGUGUAGCGGUGAAAUGCGUAGAGAUCUGGAGGAAUACCGAUGGCGAAGGCAGCCAUCUGGCCUAACACUGACGCUGAGGUACGAAAGCAUGGGGAGCAAACAGG